rnacentral:lncRNA from 1 species
AACAUCAAACGGAAAGAGAUGUGUAAGAUCCCUCACCUUGCUAUCCUGCAAAGUGACGAGUCGAGGACGGUCCUUGUGAGCCUCUCCUACAAGAAAAGAAACAUAGUAUUGUUAAGCAAAUAGAUAUCCUAGUUUUCUAAUUUCUGAAAAAAAUCCUACCACCUCUCUAGACAUCCUACCACCUCUCUAUUCUUUUCAACAUUUUCUAAUUUCUAAUUUCAUUCUUCACUAAUUACU